CUCAGGAUGACGUACGAUGUCUCAGUUCUCAAUUUCCAUCAGGAUCUGAGUGCGAAGGGCCAUCAAAAGAGUGUAGUCAUGGAAGCAUCUUUAGGGACUCCUCAUCUACUUUCGCUUCUGAGGGCAGUUCUCUCCUCCCUUUUUUUGAGCUCAAUGAUCGUUAUCAUGGGGUCUUUUAUUCCCACCAUUCUUCCUCCUAUCUUCUCAGAGAUGGAUUUCACCUUCCUCAGCCUGAGCGUACUUAUAUGUUCGAGCCAGAAGGUCGGUGUAAUCCC
rnacentral:lncRNA from 1 species